GAUGAACGCUGGCGGCGUGCCUAAUACAUGCAAGUCGAACGAAUCUUCUUCGGAAGAUGAGUGGCGAACGGGUGAGUAAUACAUAGGUAACCUGCCCCUGUGCGGGGGAUAACAGGAGGAAACUCCUGCUAAUACCGCAUAGCCAUGAGCACCGCAUGGAGCUCAUGCCAAAUAUCCUUUCGGGGAUAGCGCAGGGAUGGACCUAUGGCGCAUUAGCUAGUUGGCGGGGCAACGGCCCACCAAGGCAACGAUGCGUAGCCGGCCUGAGAGGGCGGACGGCCACAUUGGGACUGAGACACGGCCCAGACUCCUACGGGAGGCAGCAGUAGGGAAUUUUCGGCAAUGGGGGAAACCCUGACCGAGCAACGCCGCGUGAGCGAAGAAGGCCUUCGGGUCGUAAAGCUCUGUUGUAAAGGAAGAACGGCGCAUACAGGAAAUGGUAUGCGAGUGACGGUACUUUACCAGAAAGCCACGGCUAACUACGUGCCAGCAGCCGCGGUAAUACGUAGGUGGCGAGCGUUAUCCGGAAUCAUUGGGCGUAAAGAGGGAGCAGGCGGCCGCAAGGGUCUGUGGUGAAAGACCGAAGCUAAACUUCGGUAAGCCAUGGAAACCGGGCGGCUAGAGUGCGGAAGAGGAUAGUGGAAUUCCAUGUGUAGCGGUGAAAUGCGUAGAUAUAUGGAGGAACACCAGUGGCGAAGGCGACGGUCUGGGCCGCAACUGACGCUCAUUCCCGAAAGCGUGGGGAGCAAAUAGGAUUAGAUACCCUAGUAGUCCACGCCGUAAACGAUGGUCACUAAGUGUCGGGGGUCAAACCCCGGUGCUGCAGUCAACGCAAUAAGUGACCCGCCUGAGUAGUACGUUCGCAAGAAUGAAACUCAAAGGAAUUGACGGG
rnacentral:rRNA from 1 species